UGCCCCAAAAAAAUGACCCUAUGGUGGUCCAAAUUUGCUUCACAUCUCAAGGUCAUACUUAUCUACCACUGUCUUGUACCAUGACUGCUUCCACUAUUCGGUUACCCCUUCAAUUCACUGUGACAAUGAAGGCAUGAGGGUCCGUCCAUGCGGCAGCCGACGAGAGGUUGCCUACCUUGGUCAGUAAAAAAAACAGGUGUAUAGAUGCGUUAGAAUCGAAUCUGCACAUCUUGUUUCAUUGCAGUCAGGUGAAAAAGUAGAUCAGGUGUUUUGUGAAUCGCUUCUGGCAGAAAAGAUAUCCUCAUCUUAAUAUAGAGUAUAGACCAAGAGAUUGAUGCUCGGUCCGAUUGCAGGGAGGAGGUCGGGGCAAUUUGGCUGAAGGGAGUUUGAGUUGUUUCUGGUUUUGACUAAGGAUGUGCCGAGGGACUUAAUGGAGUGCAAAGUCAUGAAUCAGGACGGGGACUUUUCGGAAGAUUGGCCCAUGGUCUAAGCCAACGUACUGGCAUCCACUCAGAUUGCCUCUGUGAAGGUGAAUGAACAAUGAAGGACAUGUUUGGUGGAUGACUAUCUGGCUGGUGGUAGAAACGAAGCUGAAGGAAAUGAGCUGGAAACUUCAUAAGAAGAUGACGAUGAAUGUUGAACCUCUGCAAAUGAGCAACCAGUCCUCUGUCGAUAGACAUUGCUAGAUCUGCAACUUUCCACAUGGAGUUUACUUCAUAUUGCGCACCCAGUUUAGGGUCUGCAACACUCUGGAUGUCCCCUCUAACCAGUCUUGCCGUUGCCCAUUGAACUAUAUGGAAACG